rnacentral:pre_miRNA from 1 species
UUUCUACUCCCUCCGUCCUAAAAUUCUUAUCUUAGAUUUGUCUAGAUAUGGAUGUAUCUAAUACUAAAACGUGACUUGAUACAUCCAUAUUUAGACAAAUUCAAGACAAGAAUUUUGGAACGGAGGGAGUAUUUU